rnacentral:other from 1 species
AAAGCCCUGCGAUGUACGUGACAACCGAUGGUUUUGAGCCACAAGAACGUGAAAGGGAGUACUUUGUCCGAACCGCGAUGACAUGCCUCCGGAGAGUGGACGUCCGAGGCGGUUUGGCGGCACACCCACCUGCUGGCAGCAGGUUCAAAACUGAGGGAUGGCCACGGCAUAAUGGGGCUCUU